ACAUUCAUGGGAAAUCAGGACAAAAAUAAUUGCAGCUUCAGAAGAAAGGUGGUGAAGAAAGCAGAGCUAAGAACAGCUCCUGAAACCCUGGAUUUUAAGGCACUGCUGGGAAGAAAAGGAAGCAAACAUUCAGCCAAUUGAAACACGGAACGGUUACAGACUGACAGAUGUCACCUCAGACACGCGAACCAUCAAGUUUCUGAGAGCUCAACUUAAUUCCAGAACCUGCCAGCUAGGACAACAGGUCACUCAGAAAAGCUCACAUGACACGAAACCCAAAGCCCAAGCCCCCUCUCUGUUUGACCCUCUCUGUCCUGCCACGGGC